rnacentral:tRNA from 1 species
UAGGAAAUAGUGUAGCGGAAGCACUAGGAGUUUUGUUCUCCUUGGGAGGGGUUCGAAUCCUCUUUUUCUAA